GCUUGGUUGUUGUUGUUUGGAACAUGUUGUUUUGUUGCCAUAGCGAUGCCUCCAGGGACCAUAAAAUGACAUCACAGCAUUUAAACAUGUUUUGAAUGAAAACAUCAGCAUAUGAACACAAAACUGAAGAGACACUGCAACCGCAUGAAAGCAGACCACUAUUUAGUGACAUUUCGACGUUUCCCUGAGGAUUAACUGCUCCGUAAUUUACCAAGAACUAAAGUAAGCUCAAAUUUCAGUUUAUAAACUUAAGAUCAUUUACUUAAAUAUAUAAAUGUAAUAUUUGACAAAUUAUACAUAAAUUUGAAAAUGUUCUUAAUCAUAUCUUAGAGUGACAGAAGCUCUUUUUAACACGAUUAUUUCUGAGAUUAUUUUGUUCAUUUAGGAAAAUAGAGAAGACUUAAGUUUUGUUCUCAAACAAACUGAGGCUGCGUCCACAUGUACACGGCUAUUUUUGAAAGCGCAGCUUUGUCUCUGCAUUCGGGCCUUUCGUCCACACCUAAACAGCAGAUUGAGUCACUGAAAGGUGAGAUUUUUUUAAAACUCCUGCCAGGGUGGAGAUUUUUGAAAACGACGUUUUUGUGUUUAGGUGUGGAUGAGGAAAACGGACAUAUGGACUGGAUUUUUUUUUUUAAAUGAAAAAGGAAAACGUCCGUUUUCAAACAUAGCCGUUCAAAAUGAGUGGAAGUGGAGAUGGAUUUCAAACUAACCGUAACGGCCAACAGGUUAACCCACAAUCAAUUGCAAGUGGAGAUCAGGAACCUGCUCAUCAACCAGCUAACCGAAGAGCUAACCGAAGAGCUAACCGGCGAGCUAACCGACGAGCUAACCGACCAGCUAACCGACCAGCUAACGAAGAUAUCGGUGGACUCCGGGGCUUCGCGAACGAUCUUUAUCUUGCUCUUCGUGAUAUUUAUUUGUUUCUGGAUAGGCUAAUAGCUUCAGUACUGGAACAAUAUGACAAUUACCUUUACAAUGACACUGACACUGACGAUGACACUGACGAUGACGAUGACAAUGACAACAAUGUCAAUGUUCAAAAUAUUAAUGUAAGGGAAUUUAAUGCUAAUGCUGACAACAAUGAACAGCAUGAGGAUCAUAAUGCUGUGGUUGUUGUUGGCAUUGAAAAUGAGGAUUCGGAUGAGGCAUUUGAAGACUGUGUGGAUGUUGACCAGCACAUCCCAGAAGAGGACCCUCAGCCAGGUGUAUCCAGGAGGAGGUCUAGAGAGAUGGAUGAAGAAGAAGAUGUGGAACCAAACAAAAGAAUCAGAUGGAGCGAGGAGUUUUCUGAUGAUGACUCUGACUUCUUCUCUGCUUGUGACACUGAUAGCGAGAGCUGUCCUCGUGUAGGUAAUAUUGCCGAUGAGGACAUCAGUCAGCAGUCAACAGAAGAAGAACCGCAGCCUGGUGGAUCCACGAAAAGGUCCAGAGAGGAAGAUGUUGAUGAAGAAGAGCGUGAUAGCAAAAAAUCCAGGCUUGCACACUCUGAUUCGGGGACCAGCUCAGCUGUGUGUACGACCACUCUGAGAGCAGCAGUGAUGAACUUUUUGAAGAUGCACACGAAGAGCUUGGCAACCAUGAAGGUGGAGGCUCGAGGAAGUGUUCCCGAGAGGAUUUUGAGGAAGAAGAGGAAUACUUGCCUGUAUGCAAAUUUCGGAGGUGUUCAACUGAGUCCAGCAGCAGCAGUGAUGAAGACUAACACCAUUUCGACGGGUUUCUUCAGUAUCCUUUUAGUAGGCUGAUGGCCUACUCAGGUGACCCUGAAUCCUCCAUGCUGCAAUAAGCUGGGCAUACACUGUGCUGCAAUUUUUUCAGUCGCGUUAUUCAGCUCCUGGUCAAACUGUACGAUUGACUCACAGGGAUGAGAAGUUUGUGCCUCCAUCGCUCGUGUCCAGAUCACACGCCGCACCGCCGUUCUGCUCCGUCUUUUCACACUCAUUUCUGCGUUUGCGCGUGCGCAGUGUAAGACGCUAUGUUCACAGGAAAAUGCCACCAAUACACAAUGGCGAUAUGACAUACACAGCACAAAUAAAAGCAUAAUAGGAAAAUUAAUAGAAUAAAUCUAUACAAACAUGGCCAGCAUUAACCGGUAGAAAAGGCAAGAUUAAACAAAUACGUUUUAAGCCGUGAUUUAAAAGAUUGGAUAGAAUCAGAUGCCCGGAUGCCAAUCGGAAGGUUGUGCGCGUGCGCAGUGUAAGAUGCUGUGGUGACGCCCUCAGGACGGCCGACAGGAUUUCAAACAGGUUUGAUUUUCUUACGAGCAAACGAUUGAUGAUCGGGAGCUGGUCGAGAAGUGUUAAUCGCUUCUCGUUACCCCAUGUAGACGAUGCACGACACACGAUCCUCCAAACGGUCGCACGACUGAAAAAUCGGCUCAAGAUGGGCUAAAAAUCGCACAGUGUAUGCCCAGCAUUAGGCUGCCGGGGGAUUCCCAUGAUGCACUGGGUGUUUCUUCUUCACCCACUAUGUUUAAUAGACCUCUCUGCACUGAAUCGUACUUGUUAUUAACCUCUGUCUCUCUUCCACAGCAUCUCUUUAUCCUGUUUUCCUUGCCCCUCCCCAACCGGUCGCAGCAGAUGGCCGCCCCUCCCUGAGCCUGGUUCUGCUGGAGGUUUCUUCCUGUUAAAAGGGAGUUUUUCCUUCCCACUGUCGCCAAAGUGCUUGCUCAUAGGGGGUCAUAUGAUUGUUGGGGUUUUCUUUGUAAGUAUACCUUACAACAUCAAGUGCCUUGAGGUGACUGUUGCUGUCAUUUGGUGCUCUAUAAAUAAAAUUGAAUUGAAAAUUGAAUAGAUGUCACUGUGAUGAUUUC
ensembl:lncRNA